GAUGAACGCUGGCGGCGUGCCUAAUACAUGCAAGUCGAGCGAACGGACGAGAAGCUUGCUUUUCUGAUGUUAGCGGCGGACGGGUGAGUAACACGUGGAUAACCUACCUAUAAGACUGGGAUAACUUCGGGAAACCGGAGCUAAUACCGGAUAAUAUUUUGAACCGCAUGGUUCAAAAGUGAAAGACGGUCUUGCUGUCACUUAUAGAUGGAUCCGCGCUGCAUUAGCUAGUUGGUAAGGUAACGGCUUACCAAGGCAACGAUGCAUAGCCGACCUGAGAGGGUGAUCGGCCACACUGGAACUGAGACACGGUCCUGGCUCCUACGGGAGGCAGCAGUAGGGAAUCUUCCGCAAUGGGCGAAAGCCUGACGGAGCAACGCCGCGUGAGUGAUGAAGGUCUUCGGAUCGUAAAACUCUGUUAUUAGGGAAGAACAUAUGUGUAAGUAACUGUGCACAUCUUGACGGUACCUAAUCAGAAAGCCACGGCUAAGUACGUG
rnacentral:rRNA from 1 species